UAGUUUAAGAUCUGCGUUCGUAUUCCAUAUAUAUGGAUAUACUGGGCAAGAGUGGAAGGCCAUGGAAGGCGGUCAAAUUGUAUAAGGAGAUGAAGAAGAAGGGAACCAAAUUGGAUGUGUUAGCAUACGGUUAUAUGUGCCCUUGGUCUUUCUGAAGGUGUUGAUUUUUCAAUCAGGUUAUUAAGGGAGAGACGAGUGACUUGGGUUGUGAACCCAAUGUUGUGACUUAUUGUAAUACGAUCCUAAAAGCUUUUGUGUGAAAAGAGGAGGUAUAAAGAGGCAUCUGCGAUGCCUGCUAAAAUGCCUGACAAAAGUGGUGCGCCGGAUGUGAUUGCAUAUCAUUGCAUACUUGCCUCUAUCGAGAAGCCAAAAGAAAAUUCUUAGAUUUUUCUAUAGGAUCGGAAGUGGUGUUCAACCGAGGAUGGACACUUAAGUGAUGCUUAUGAGGAAAUUUGGGAGAUGGGAAUUCCUUGGACCGGCUUUUGUUGUAUGGAAGAAGAAGGACGAGAUUGGGUGUAGUCCAAAUGAGUCGGCUUACCAUGCUUUUUGAUUGAUGCUCUGGUGGGAAUGAUAGACAUGGCUAGGAUGUAUGGUGAGGAGAUGCUGGCAAAGGGGCUUUCAGCUAACCAUAUGGAAGACUGGUGACAAGGCUGGUGAGAAGAGGAUCAGAUGAUUGGUAAUUGCGAUAUUUUGCGUUUAUUCAAGAUGGAUGAGCCAUGAAAAUGCUUGUAAAUGUUAUUGGAAGAUUGUGCCAUAAUCUCCUAUAUUAAGCAGAUGGAAGAAGAUAGCAGCUCAGGGGUGACACCUGAAUAAUGCAAGCUGCUGAAUAAUGAAUGGCAUAAUUCUAGGUUUGUAGCUAUAUUGAGGAAAUGAGAUUUGAAAAGAGGUUGAGAUUGUCUAAUAACCAUUCAUCAUGGUUUUUGAUCCGUCAGGAGCAGCAAUUUUCUGCUUCAGAACAACUUUAGAUUUCUCAUCUCUUCAUGCGCUAGUAUAAAAGGUUCCUGGUGAAUAUAUCUAUAUGAAGAUUAUGAUUUGUGACAGCAAUAUGCUGCAGAUGAUUCUGAAGUAGACAAAAUUAAGGGAAAGGGUAAUUUGAUGAUUAUUUUGAGAUAUGUUCUGAGGACUCAGUUUCUUUUUGAUCCAUUUUGUUUCCAGUCUAGCAGCCAUGGUCCAUGGAUUCUUGUUCAUAUAUCCUUGCUAAAGGAUAACUGUGAAAUGAUUACCAGAAGGAAGAUGGAACUAAUAGGCAAGUCUCUGUUAUUGAUGCCAAGACAACUACACAUUGAUAUGGGCAUCUUAUCUUUUCAAUAGUUCAAUUUGAGAGGUGAUUGAUGCAGAAUGGAAUACCACCAGCAUCAAUUUCUUCAAAAUGCAGCAUACUUACAAGGCUUCUUUCAUUCAUGCUUUUAGAUCUUUUGAUGGCAAAGAUUGUGGUUAUCAAGGGUGUCAAAAGUUGGUGCUCUGGUUUAAAAGCUGCAGCAAUCAACGUUCAUCUUUCGCAUUCUGCUCUACCAUUCCCACUCCCACCUUCUUCUUCUUCUUCUCCAAGAUCGUCCCAUGUACGUUCACCACCUUCAAGUUGACAGGCUUUAGGUGGUUACCAUUGUUGCUCCUUCUUCUUGGUUUCCCUCAGUUACAGACUUCCUGUUUGCUUCAAUAUAUUCCAAAUGUAUUUGGAACGUUUUAUACGUCUAGCUAUAUACCCUUAUCAUGUGAUUGGACUCUCAUGAAAUUUUUGGUGCUCUGGCCCUUUGCUAUUUUUUUAUAGUCAGAACCAUGACAUAAUUUAAUGAAGCCUUUGGUAACUUUUUUCUUA